rnacentral:rRNA from 1 species
CGACUGAGUGGCGGACGGGUGAGUAACGCGUGGGCAACCUGCCCCAUACAGGGGGAUAACAGUUAGAAAUGACUGCUAACACCGCAUAAGCGCACAGGGCCGCAUGGCCCGGUGUGAAAAACUCCGGUGGUAUGGGAUGGGCCCGCGUCUGAUUAGCCAGUUGGCGGGGUAACGGCCCACCAAAGCGACGAUCAGUAGCCGACCUGAGAGGGUGACCGGCCGCAUUGGGACUGAGACACGGCCCAAACUCCUACGGAAGGCAGCAG